AUUGAACGCUGGCGGCAGGCUUAACACAUGCAAGUCGAGCGAGCGGCGGACGGGUGAGUAAUGUCUGGGAAACUGCCUGAUGGAGGGGGAUAACUACUGGAAACGGUAGCUAAUAACGCAUACCAUCAGAUGUGCCCAGAUGGGAUUAGCUAGUAGGUGGGGUAAUGGGUCACCUAGGCGACGAUCCCUAGCUGGUCUGAGAGGAUGACCGGCGACACGGGAACUGAGACGCGGUCCAGACUGCUACGGGAGGCGGCAGUGGGGAAGAUUGCACAGUGGGCGCAAGCCUGAUGCAGCCAUGCCGCGUGUGUGAAGAAGGCCUUCGGGUUGUAAAGCACUGUCAGCGAGGAGGCGUUACUCGCAGAAGAAGCACCGGCUAACUCCGUGCCAGCAGCCGCGGUAAUUC
rnacentral:rRNA from 1 species